UACGGGGGGGGGCAAGCGUUGUUCGGAAUUACUGGGCGUAAAGGGCUCGUAGGCGGCCAACUAAGUCAGACGUGAAAUCCCUCGGCUUAACCGGGGAACUGCAUCUGAUACUGGAUGGCUUGAGUUCGGGAGAGGGAUGCGGAAUUCCAGGUGUAGCGGUGAAAUUCGUAGAUAUCGGGAGGAACACCGGUGGCGAAGGCGGCGACCUGGGCCAACACUGACGCUCAGGCACGAAAGCGUGGGGAGCAAACAGG
rnacentral:rRNA from 1 species